UCCCUGGAGAACUAGUGGUUAGACCACAGUGCUCUCACUGCCAUGGCCCAGGUUCGAAUCCUGGCCAGGGAG
rnacentral:tRNA from 1 species